UACGUAGGUGGCAAGCGUUGUCCGGAAUUAUUGGGCGUAAAGCGCGCGCAGGCGGUUCCUUAAGUCUGAUGUGAAAGCCCACGGCUCAACCGUGGAGGGUCAUUGGAAACUGGGGAACUUGAGUACAGAAGAGAAGAGCGGAAUUCCACGUGUAGCGGUGAAAUGCGUAGAGAUGUGGAGGAACACCAGUGGCGAAGGCGGCUCUUUGGUCUGUAACUGACGCUGGGGCGCGAAAGCGUGGGGAGCGAACAGGAUUAGAUACCCUAGUAGU
rnacentral:rRNA from 1 species